AUUGAACGCUGGCGGCAGGCCUAACACAUGCAAGUCGAGCGGAUGAAGGGAGCUUGCUCCUGGAUUCAGCGGCGGACGGGUGAGUAAUGCCUAGGAAUCUGCCUGGUAGUGGGGGAUAACGUCCGGAAACGGGCGCUAAUACCGCAUACGUCCUGAGGGAGAAAGUGGGGGAUCUUCGGAUCUCACGCUAUCAGAUGAGCCUAGGUCGGAUUAGAUAGUUGGUGGGGUAAAGGCCUACCAAGGCGACGAUCCGUAACUGGUCUGAGAGGAUGAUCAGUCACACUGGAACUGAGACACGGUCCAGACUCCUACGGGAGGCAGCAGUGGGGAAUAUUGGACAAUGGGCGAAAGCCUGAUCCAGCCAUGCCGCGUGUGUGAAGAAGGUCUUCGGAUUGUAAAGCACUUUAAGUUGGGAGGAAGGGCAGUAAGUUAAUACCUUGCUGUUUUGACGUUACCAACAGAAUAAGCACCGGCUAACUUCGUG
rnacentral:rRNA from 1 species